rnacentral:rRNA from 1 species
GACGAACGCUGGCGGCGUGCUUAACACAUGCAAGUCGAACGGAAAGGCCCUUCUUUUGUGGGGUGCGCGAGGGGCGAACGGGUGAGUAACACGUGAGUAGCCUGUCCUUGACGUUGGGAUAUCUUCAGGAAACUGGGGUUAAUACCGGAUAGGUGAUCCUCCUGCAUGGUUGUGGUUGAAAAGUUUCGGAGGUUGGGGAUGGACUCGCGGCUUAUCAGCUGGUUGGUGAGGUGGUGGCUUACCAAGGCUUUUUAGGGUAGCCUGCCUGAGAGUGGGACCGGCCACAUUGGGAGUGAGAUACGGCCCAGAGUCCUGCGGGAGGCAGCAGUAGGGAAUAGUGCACGAUGGGCGGAAGCCUGAUGCAGCAACGCCGCGUGCGGGAUUACGGCCUUCGGGUUGAAAACCGCUUUCGCCCGUGACGGAGAGUGAGUGAAGGUAAUGGAUAAAGAAGCACCGGCUAACUACGUG